rnacentral:lncRNA from 1 species
UGUCGCAUGCAACCACUUUCCACCAGCCGAACUACCCAUUCGCAACAAAAACCUAACCCCUCUAUCUCUGCCAUAUCUCUUUCUCUCAUCGUCGUGGUGCUAGUGUCGGGGAUACUAGAAUCCCCAAUCACAAACCUGGGAAUUCGUUGGUAACAUCGUCAUUCAUGUCGAUUGAACUCCAAUCUGCACAGUUUGUAAGAUGUUAGCCAACAAAGUCACACCAAUAUUAGUCGAAAGCUAAUUGAACGACAUACAUUGGCCGUGUUGAAGACAAUAUUGUUACAAUCGGGAAGAAUACUGAUGUGCCACGGAGAAGGUAAGGCUUAUCCACUUAUUUUCGGGCUUCAUGACCCACAUACAAACUCGGAUCAAGCGGAAAGAUAAAAGUGCUGAAGCUCUGAUCCACUUUCAGAACAUACUUUGGGGAUAUUUCAUAAUUUUCCAAAAUUUAGCAUCCAACAACAGUAACAGCACUCCAACAACAUAGAUCCAAUAAAAGAAAGAUGCAGCAGAUACAUCGGUGGUGGAUGCGGUUUCCCGGAAUUCAACCCCGAUUAAAAUUUGUGGAGUUCACUCAGCCUCUGGAAAUGUAACUCCAGCGUUAAUUGACCAACGGCCACCACGUCAAUGCUGAACUCGAAGAUCCUUAAGAGACUAAAGCGAGUCAGUCAAUUGAGGUAAGACUUUCAGGUCAAAAUCCUAACUAAAAUUACGUUGUAUUAUUCUGUACCUAUGGGUUUCAAGUAAAUUCGUUAAUUUAAAAAAAUUACCUGUUGGGUAAACUAAUAAUCAAUUACAGAUAGCAUUAUCACU